GUGCAGUGGCAUGAUCUUGGCUCACUGCAGCCUCCACCUCCUGGGUUCAAGCAAUUUUCCUGCCUCAGCCUCCCGAGUAGCUGGGAUUACAGGCACACACCACCAGGCCCAGCUAAUUUUAGUGUUUUUAAUAGAGACAGGGUUUUACCAUGUUGGUCAGGCUGGUCUCGAACUCUUGACCUCAAGUAAUUCACCUACCUUGACUUCCUAAAGUGCUGGGAUUAUAGGGAUGAGCCACUGUGCCCAACUUCUUUUUUUUUCUCUUUUCUGAGACAGGGUCUUGCUGUGUUGCCCAGGCUAGAGUGCACUGUACCCUCAACCUCCUGGGCUCAAGCAAUCCUUCCACCUCAGCCUCCUGAGUAGCUGGGACUACAGGCAUGUGCCGCCACACUCAACUAAUUUUUUUUUUUUUAAUUUUUAGUAGAGACAGUGUCUUGCUAUGUUGCUUAAGGCUGGUCCUGAACUCCUGACCUCAGGCAGUCUUCCUACCUCGACCUCCCAAAGUGCUGGGGUGCUGGGAUUAUAGACGUGAGCCACGACGCCUAGCCAGAAUUUGGGUCUCAUUGUCCAAGUUAAUCUCAUGAAUGAGGAGGUGCUCUGCCCUGUGGCCAGGGACCAGGGUAUUGAUUCUCUCAAAAAUUAUUAAAUCAUCUAGCCAAAAUGUACGGUACUGUGGGGUAUAUAAGAAGGGAAGAGACAAGAUCUGCCUUCAUUAAUAGUCUGGUUAGAGAAGACUUAAAAGUAAGCAUGAAUAGAUAAUUAAUUUGAUCAAUUGUCUAAUAUGUCGUACUCUAGAUUCUAAGUUGCCACAUACUCAAAAAAGGGAAAGAUUAUCCAGGGCCUGAUUAUUUGACAGGGUCACUUGAGGGUAGAUCUUGAAAAAUGAUGAUUUGACUAAUCAGGGACCAGGGAGCCAUUUUUCAGAAGUAGGAAAAGAGCAGAUCUCAGGCUUGGGGGGAAGAACAAGCUACUUGGGAGUUAAUGGAUGAUAGCUGCUGUGGCCAUUUUUCUUAAGAGUUAGACUGGGGAGAUGGGUUUGGAAAGUAAAAUGCAAAUGGUGGGUAGUGGUAUUAGGUGGUGAUGUGCAAGGCGUGCUGUAGAAACCUGCAGGGUGAAGCCCAUAACUUUUGUUACGGGAAUGGGGUAACUGAAUCCUAAACUAGCUAGGGGAGAUAGGGAUGGAAAGAGCAGAUGUGGAGGUUGGGGAGAAGGGAGUGACAGGAGAUAUAUCCAGUUCCAGAGGGAAUAGGGAGAGCUGUGUGGCUAAGAUUUAACUGUUUGGACAUUUAAUUUGGGGAAAUUGUUUUCCAGCCAAGUGAAUAAAUAAUACUGGACUUCAAGUACAAGCUUCAUACAGGAAGUGAAGUUUUGGUGUGGAGAUAGCUGCAUAGUCAGGGAACACUCUAAAUUAAAAAUAAGGAGGCCGGGCAUGGUGGCUCAUGCCUGUAAUCCCAGCACUUUGGGAGGCGGGCAGAUCAUGAGGUCAGGAGUUCGAGAGCACCCUGACCAACAUAUUGAAACCCCAUCUCCACUAAAAAUACAAAAAAAUUAGCCGAGCGUGGUGGUGCACACCUGUAGUCCCAGCUACUCAGGAGGCUGAGGCAGGAGAAUUGCUUGAACCCGGGAGGCAGUGGUUGCAGUGAGCCGAGGUUGCGCCACUGCACUCCAGCCUGAGCAACAGAGCGAGACUCUGUCUCAAACAAAAACCAAAAGACAUCAGGAAACAUGCCUCUUAUGGAAUUUGAGGGGGAAAAGUCAGGGUCUUGGCAGUGACCUUGGACAAGCCAUUAGCCUCUUGAUACCUCUUUUCUCAUCUGUAAAAUGAAGGUGGUAGUUACCUACUUCACAGGGUUAUUAGGGGAUUCAAUGUGUAAUAAUACGUAAAGUGCCUUAAAU
rnacentral:lncRNA from 10 species